CCUACGGGGGGCUGCAGUAGGGAAUCUUCCACAAUGGACGAAAGUCUGAUGGAGCAAUACCGCGUGAUUGAUGAAGCCCCUUGGGGUGUAAAGAUCUUUUCUGAGGGAAGAAUUAUGACGGUACCUUAGGAAUAAGCACCGGCUAACUCCGUGCCAGCAGCCGCGGUAAUACGGAGGGUGCAAGCGUUAUCCGGAAUCAUUGGGCGUAAAGCGUCCGCAGGUGGCGUAUUAAGUCAGAUAUUAAAGGCAACGGCUCAACUGUUGUACUGUAUCUGAUACUGAUAUGCUUGAGAACUGUAGAGGUAAGUGGAAUUCUGCAUGUAGGGGUAAAAUCCGUUGAUAUGCAGAGGAAUACCAAGAGCGAAAGCAGCUUACUGGACAGUUUCUGACACUCAUGGACGAAAGCGUGGGGAGCGAACGGGAUUAGAUACCCGGGUAGUC
rnacentral:rRNA from 1 species